CAUUAUCGUCUUCACUUAAAAAAAAAAAAAAUUACAAGUCCCUCUGAUGGAGGAGAAUAAAAGUCAAAUUGAGAAAAGAUUCAAAAACACAAAUAAAGUUCAUUAAAAUAGUUAAUACAAAUAACUCUAUCUAAGAUUUAAUUAAAUAUUAUGCAAGAAUAUUAAAAAAAUUAGAUUUAUUUCAAUUCAAAUAAGCAAAAAUUUAGCCUAAUUAAAGAAAAAUACAAAAACCCAAAAUUAAAGGGAAAAAUAAAAAAUACCCACCCGUCAAAAGGUUACUAUUCGUGGCAGGGAGUUGAAAGGCUUAGCAGCAGCCAUUAGCCAUUCUCCUUCCUAAAGCAUCACUUCAGCGGUCAUUUUCCCCGACCUUCUACUCCGUACUAUGAGAUAGAGGAAGGAAAAGUUAUGAAUUGCAAUGGACUAUCCGAAAUCCGAUCUAGCCCAAAUCCCCUUUCCCAACUGCUAUUCGAAUCUCGAUCUCUAGAAUUGAAAGCAAAACCAAUGAGCCUUCGAUCAAGCGAAAGACUAACGACUUUGAAUUGAGGAUUGCCAGAAUCCAAAGCUCUUUCAAGUCUUAUGGGCACAAAAGAACUAAACCCUAAACUAUUCUUUCUAUCUAUUUAGUUCAAAUGCUUUGACGCUCUUAAUAGAGAGCGCAGUUCCAGUAUAAUCAUAAUCAGACUAUUGCUCAUACUUAAUCACUACUUAAACCCUUGGUGAAACUGGCAUGAUGAAAAAGUGCCACUUGGUGAGAUGAGAGAAACGGGUGGAAAGAGUUAAAAAGUGAAAAAAAAGGAAAGAAGAAAAUAAAAUUUUAGGAUUUUUUAGGUUAAGGGUAAAAAAUUAAUUUUAUAAAUGAAACAAUAAAAAUAUAAAAAAGCUCAAUUAGGCUCAUGAGCUAUUUAAGUCGGAUAUUACUAUGCUUGAAUUUAGCUCGUUCGAUAAGUCGAGCUACUUGAGAUCGAGCUCGAGCUUGACUCGACACUUAUUGAAUCGAAUUCAAAUUUUAAUCGAGUCAAAUCUAAGUAGCUUACGAGUAUUAAUGUAUCAUUUACACCCCUAGCAAUGAGAUCUUUUUUUUUUGUCAACGUGUCCUAAGAUACUAGAUAAGGAUAAUUUUUUAGGUAGAUGAUUAAGAGAUUGAUAUGCUUAUGAUCAUUUUGAAGGAAUUGGGUUACUUUGAUUUUGAAAAUUUUUAGGGUACAACAUAACCUUGAAAUAUCA
rnacentral:lncRNA from 1 species